GGUUAAGCGACUAAGCGUACACGGUGGAUGCCCUGGCAGUCAGAGGCGAUGAAGGACGUGCUAAUCUGCGAAAAGCGUCGGUAAGGUGAUAUGAACCGUUAUAGCCGGCGAUGUCCGAAUGGGGAAACCCAGUGCAAUUCGUUGCACUAUCGUUUGAUGAAUACAUAGUCAAACGAGGCGAACCGGGGGAACUGAAACAUCUAAGUACCCCGAGGAAAAGAAAUCAACCGAGAUUCCCCCAGUAGCGGCGAGCGAACGGGGAGCAGCCCGGAGUCUGAAUCAGCUUGUGUGUUAGUGGAAGCGUCUGGAAAGUCGCAGGGUACAGGGUGAUACUCCCGUACACUAAAACGCACAGGCUGUGAACUCGAAGAGUAGGGCGGGACACGUGGUAUCCUGUCUGAAUAUGGGGGGACCAUCCUCCAAGGCUAAAUACUCCUGACUGACCGAUAGUGAACCAGUACCGUGAGGGAAAGGCGAAAAGAACCCCGGCGAGGGGAGUGAAAAAGAACCUGAAACCGUGUACGUACAAGCAGUAGGAGCCUCUUUAUGGGGUGACUGCGUACCUUUUGUAUAAUGGGUCAGCGACUUAUAUUCUGUAGCAAGGUUAACCGUAUAGGGGAGCCGCAGGGAAACCGAGUCUUAACUGGGCGUUAAGUUGCAGGGUAUAGACCCGAAACCCGGUGAUCUAGCCAUGGGCAGGUUGAAGGUUGGGUAACACUAACUGGAGGACCGAACCGACUAAUGUUGAAAAAUUAGCGGAUGACUUGUGGCUGGGGGUGAAAGGCCAAUCAAACCGGGAGAUAGCUGGUUCUCCCCGAAAGCUAUUUAGGUAGCGCCUCGUGAAUUCAUCUUCGGGGGUAGAGCACUGUUUCGGCUAGGGGGUCAUCCCGACUUACCAACCCGAUGCAAACUACGAAUACCGAAGAAUGUUAUCACGGGAGACACACGGCGGGUGCUAACGUCCGUCGUGAAGAGGGAAACAACCCAGACCGCCAGCUAAGGUCCCAAAGUCAUGGUUAAGUGGGAAACGAUGUGGGAAGGCCCAGACAGCCAGGAUGUUGGCUUAGAAGCAGCCAUCAUUUAAAGAAAGCGUAAUAGCUCACUGGUCGAGUCGGCCUGCGCGGAAGAUGUAACGGGGCUAAACCAUGCACCGAAGCUGCGGCAGCGACACUAUGUGUUGUUGGGUAGGGGAGCGUUCUGUAAGCCGUUGAAGGUGGCCUGUGAGGGUUGCUGGAGGUAUCAGAAGUGCGAAUGCUGACAUAAGUAACGAUAAUGCGGGUGAAAAACCCGCACGCCGGAAGACCAAGGGUUCCUGUCCAACGUUAAUCGGGGCAGGGUGAGUCGACCCCUAAGGCGAGGCCGAAAGGCGUAGUCGAUGGGAAACAGGUUAAUAUUCCUGUACUCGGUGUUACUGCGAAGGGGGGACGGAGAAGGCUAUGUUGGCCGGGCGACGGUUGUCCCGGUUUAAGCAUGUAGGCGGAUGUUCCAGGUAAAUCCGGAACGUUAUCAACGCUGAGGUGUGAUGACGAGGCACUACGGUGCUGAAGUGACAAAUGCCCUGCUUCCAGGAAAAGCCUCUAAGCAUCAGGUAACAUCAAAUCGUACCCCAAACCGACACAGGUGGUCAGGUAGAGAAUACCAAGGCGCUUGAGAGAACUCGGGUGAAGGAACUAGGCAAAAUGGUGCCGUAACUUCGGGAGAAGGCACGCUGAUAGGUAGGUGAAGUGGUUUACCCAUGGAGCUGAAAUCAGUCGAAGAUACCAGCUGGCUGCAACUGUUUAUUAAAAACACAGCACUGUGCAAACACGAAAGUGGACGUAUACGGUGUGACGCCUGCCCGGUGCCGGAAGGUUAAUUGAUGGGGUUAUCCGUAAGGAGAAGCUCUUGAUCGAAGCCCCGGUAAACGGCGGCCGUAACUAUAACGGUCCUAAGGUAGCGAAAUUCCUUGUCGGGUAAGUUCCGACCUGCACGAAUGGCGUAAUGAUGGCCAGGCUGUCUCCACCCGAGACUCAGUGAAAUUGAACUCGCUGUGAAGAUGCAGUGUACCCGCGGCAAGACGGAAAGACCCCGUGAACCUUUACUAUAGCUUGACACUGAACACUGGUCCUUGAUGUGUAGGAUAGGUGGGAGGCUUUGAAGUGUGGACGCCAGUCUGCAUGGAGCCAUCCUUGAAAUACCACCCUUUAAUGGCUGGUGUUCUAACGUGGGCCCGUUAUCCGGGUUGCGGACAGUGUCUGGUGGGUAGUUUGACUGGGGCGGUCUCCUCCUAAAGAGUAACGGAGGAGCACGAAGGUCAGCUAAUCCUGGUCGGACAUCAGGAGGUUAGUGCAAUGGCAUAAGCUGGCUUGACUGCGAGCGUGACGGCGCGAGCAGGUGCGAAAGCAGGUCAUAGUGAUCCGGUGGUUCUGAAUGGAAGGGCCAUCGCUCAACGGAUAAAAGGUACUCCGGGGAUAACAGGCUGAUACCGCCCAAGAGUUCAUAUCGACGGCGGUGUUUGGCACCUCGAUGUCGGCUCAUCACAUCCUGGGGCUGAAGUAGGUCCCAAGGGUAUGGCUGUUCGCCAUUUAAAGUGGUACGCGAGCUGGGUUUAGAACGUCGUGAGACAGUUCGGUCCCUAUCUGCCGUGGGCGCUGGAGAAUUGAGGGGGGCUGCUCCUAGUACGAGAGGACCGGAGUGGACGCAUCACUGGUGUUCGGGUUGUCAUGCCAAUGGCAUUGCCCGGUAGCUAAAUGCGGAAGAGAUAAGUGCUGAAAGCAUCUAAGCACGAAACUUGCCCCGAGAUGAGUUCUCCCUGACUCCUUGAGAGUCCUGAAGGAACGUUGAAGACGACGACGUUGAUAGGCCGGGUGUGUAAGCGCAGCGAUGCGUUGAGCUAACCGGUACUAAUGAACCGUGAGGCUUAACCUU
rnacentral:rRNA from 1 species